GGCUCGAUAGUGUAACGGUAAACGCACUCUGUGUUAAUGUCACCCCUGUGUUUGAUUAUGGAGAGAUUUGGAGUUCGAUCCUGCAUCGAGCCC